rnacentral:rRNA from 1 species
CCAAUAGCGUAUAUUAAAGUUGUUGCAGUUAAAAAGCUCGUAGUUGAAUUUCGAAAUCAAAUUGUUGGUCGUGCCUCGGUACGUACUGGCAUUAUUGAUUUCUCCUUUCUGAAGAACCUUGAUGUCAUUAAUUUGGUGUCUUGGGGAAUCAGGACCGUUACUUUGAAAAAAUUAGAGUGUUUAAAGCAGGCUCACGCUUGAAUACAUUAGCAUGGAAUAAUGAAAUAGGACGUUUGAUUCUAUUUUGUUGGUUUCUAGGAUCGACGUAAUGAUUAAUAGGGAUAGUUGGGGGCAUUAGUAUUCAAUUGUCAGAGGUGAAAUUCUUGGAUUUAUUGAAGACUAACUACUGCGAAAGCAUUUGCCAAGGAUGUUUUCAUUAAUCAAGAACGAAAGUUAGGGGAUCGAAGACGAUCAGAUACCGUCGUAGUCUUAACCAUAAACUAUGCCGACUAGGGAUCGGAUGAUGUUAAUUUUUUAAUGACUCAUUCGGCGCCUUACG